GCCCACGUAGCUCAGUAGGAGAGAGCAUGCGCCUUCUAAGCGUAGGGUCGGGAGUUCGAAUCUCUCCGUGGGCG
rfam:Spiroplasma melliferum KC3 contig4, whole genome shotgun sequence.